AGAGAGAGACAUGCGCGCAUAUCAAUAAGCGGAGGAAAAGAAACUAACUAGGAUUCCCCUCAGUAACGGCGAGUGAAGCGGGAAGAGCUCAAAUUUGAAAUCUUCAAGGUUCUACCUUGACGAAUUGUAGUUUAAAGAAGUGUUUUCUGUUGGAGUUUUGGUAAAAGUUCUUUGGAAUAGGACAUCAUAGAGGGUGAGAAUCCCGUAUUUGAUCCAUUUCUUCCUAACUGUGUGAUACACUUUCAAAGAGUCGGAUUGUUUGGGAAUGCAGUCCAAAAUGGGUGGUAAAUUUCAUCUAAAGCUAAAUAUAUGGCGAGAGACCGAUAGCGAACAAGUACCGUGAGGGAAAGAUGAAAAGAACUUUGAAAAGAGAGUUAAACAGUACGUGAAAUUGUCAAAAGGGAAGCGUUUGACACCAGUGUCGUUUUCUCGAAAAUCAAUUAAAAAUGGCCGGAUUUUGUGUUGUAUUGACUUUAUCAGCUUUCUGCACUUUUUUCCUGUCUUUUUUAAUGCACUUUUCGUUUAACAAGUCAACAUCAAUUUCUUUUGUUGUAAAAGAGUCAUUGGAAGGUGGCUUUCACUUUCGGAUGAAAGUGUUUAUAGCCUUUGACUUCUGCAAUCGGAGAGAUUGAGGUCUGCAGCGUAGAUCCUUCGGGGUUAGAUGCAUUUGUGCUAAGUUAUAGCCUUUCAUAGACAACUUGUUGACUAUGAUUAGUCAUUGUAGCUUACUCGCUUACUGCUAUUUUACCUACGCUUAGGAUGUUGACAGCAGUAUAGACUGU
rnacentral:rRNA from 1 species